GGGAAAUUUAAUAAUAAAAAACUUAUGAUCAUUGACCUAUCAGCGCCUCAUUCAUCUGUGGUUCCUAGCAUUAAUUCAUUAAUUCCAUCCAGUGAAUUUUCACUACAGUAUGCCACAGUGGAUAACGCUAUGGGGGCAAUCUUGAAAGCAGGUAAAGGCACCUGGUCAGGAAAAACCGAUAUCACUAACGAUUUCAAAAUGCUACCCAUACAUCCGUCCCUGUGGCAUUUACACGGAGUUAAAUGGAAGGGCCACUACUACUUGGCCACGUGUUUGACGUUUGGGGCCAAAAGCAGUCCCAAACUGUUCAACACGUUUGCCGAAAAACUAUGCUGGCUACUACUAAAUGUGGGUGGCUGCCCAGUAGCAAUACACUACCUGGAUGACUUCCUCACAGUAGGGGAACCUAACUGUACUCCCCACAGCAUAGAUAAAACUGCUGCACUUUUCUCCACACUAGGGGUCCCUCUAUCAAGAGAAAAGACAAUAGGUCCGUCUACAGCCCUAACCUUCUUAGGGAUCCAUCUCAAUUCCACAUCUAAGGUGGCGAGUCUACCAGAAGAGAAAGUUACUGCAUCACUAACGAAAUCACAUGGUUCAUGAAGAAAAACAAUUGCUCCCGCAAAGAGCUACAGUCUCUCCUGGGCUCACUAAACUUUGCGAUCUGCAUUAUACCGCAGGGUCGGGCAUUAAUUUCACGCUUGAGACCCCCCAAGACAGUACUCACAUUAUCAUCAAUGAUAACGCCUAAGCAGACUUACGCAUGUGGGGCACAUUUCUUUCCUCCUGAAAUGGGAGGUCAAUGUUCAUACCCCCACUCGACGUAGAUUCCCCGGUCGUAUGGACCGAUGCAGCAGCCCACACAGUGUUUGCAGCCAUAUACAACGACCAGUGGUUCCAUGACUCAUGGCCAUCUGAAACGUCAACAUUACAGGCAUUUAACACCACAUCCUCGCUUUUUGAACUUUACCCAAUAGUGGCAGCCGCACACACUUGGGGUUCGUUGUGGGAGGGCAAAGCAGUUAAAUGCCUCUCCGACAAUGAAGCCACAUGCGAGAUCAUAAACAAAGGCAGAUCCGCAUCCCUAGUCAUCAUGAGACUCAUGAGGAGACUCACGUGGCUGACAGCUACUCACAACUUCCACUUGGUUUGCAUGCACAUACCAGGUUGGGUAAAUAUUGCAGCUGAUGCUCUCUCUCGCUCCAACUUUCAGGCUUUUUCGAACAACACCCCACGGCGACAAUUAAACCUGAGCUGACCCCCACAUUUCAGGACCUGAUAAUGGACUGAUAUGGCUGAAACAACACGCACUAACGUUGGCAAAAGCUGCUCUGUCAGACAACACCAAGAAGUCCUACGAUAGAGCACUUACUAUUUUCUCCAGGUUCACUUCCGAACACCACAUCACCAACACCUUUUCCAUCGACACAAUAGUUGCUUUCACCACUCACUGCCAUCUACAACUCAAGCUUGCACAUAACACCAUCAAACUUUACCUCACAGGCAUACAGCACCACUUACUCACCUUAUUUCCCUGUCACAAACCUCUCAUGUCAUCCUAUCUCCUAAAAAACGUCCUGAAAGGUAUACUUCGCACAGACGGCCCUCCAACAGCCAAAAGACAGCCAAUUGACGGGACUAAAUUUAAGGAUCUAUCAGACCUGUUAGAUUCAAGACCAUUUGAACCUAGUACUAACUGCGUACUCAAAACGGCUAUGUACAUAGCGUUCUACGGGUUCUUAAGGCCCAGUGAAUUCACGGUGCAUAGUCUAUCUGUCAACACAAGUUACAUCAGAAUAAGGGACCUACAAAAAUUGGGGGACCACUAUAUACUGCUUCUAAGACAAACCAAAACAAAUCAGGUGGGAGCUCCUACAGAGUUCCAGUACUUCCUAACCCAUAAUAAAUGGUGUCUGGUGACAGUCCUAGAUACUUUCUGCCUUUCCCUCAAAGACAAACAAAGCUACUCACCCCUACUCACAAUUGCCGACAAACCUCUGACUACGGCUAAAUUCACACACUACGUAAGGGCCUUGGUGGUCAGACUAGGUCACGACCCCAUGUCCAUCUCAGGACACUCAUUUAGGAUUGGAGCCGCUUCAGCUGCAUCCAGCAAUAACAUACCCGUACACAUCGUUAAAAAACUAGGAAGGUGGAAAUCAGCAGCUUAUGGCAAAUACAUUACACAGCCAGAGAAAGAACUUAGGAAAGCUUUCAAGGAAUUACUUAUGUGAAUUUUCAAAGCAUUAAAAGUGUUUUGUUUAAAACCUUUUUGCCCUCAUUAUUUCAGGCCUACCCGAUCGUUGGUUCAGGCACACCACAACCGACUAUAAAUCAUCACCUACUACUACAGAUACAGCUUAAUAUCCCUGACUACAAAUGUUAAGGCGGAGCCUGUAGUUGUGGGAGGGGUUAACCAGGCCUAUUUAUACCCAGACCUACCUCUAAUCAGGGCCGAGAUUGAUCCAGAACUCCCCACCCACCAACACCCCUCAGCAAAUACUAUUUAGGUGGGCCCUCAUUAUUUCAGGCCUACCCGAUCAUUGGUUCAGGCACACCACAACCGACUAUCAAUCAUCACUUACUACUACAGAUACGGCUUAAUAUCCCCAACUGCAAAUAUAUAUUAAAAUACACGUAAUCAAAUAUUUUAUCAUUUUUUCAAAUACCAAGAAAUUUAAUUUGGUUUGUGGUGGUAAUGAUCCUGCCACUUCUAUUGAUUGUUUAAUCAAUACAUCAUGCAUAUGAUUAUUAAUUCAUAUUCUGAUUGUAACAUACCCCCACUUCAACAAGUUAUAGUUACAACAGAUUCUGAUAUCUAUUGUUAUGGAAGUGAUAAACCACUUAUACAAAGGUAGAGCUAAAAUAUAAAUGCCUUCAAUAUUGUAUCUGAGUGCUUUCUUAACUCAAUUUUAGAAAUAAUAAUACAUUCUAAUCAUCUUAAGCUACAUCCAACAGCCACUGAAAAAUAUACUUUUAAGAAAAAAAACAAUUAAGAUUCUCAUUGUUAAGCAUCCAAUCUCAUGAACGUAACUUUCCACAAUGGCU
rnacentral:lncRNA from 1 species